rnacentral:lncRNA from 1 species
AUGCACUCCCCCCACCCACAAUUCCUGCCAGCCAGAGACUCAAACUCACAACCUUUCGAUUGCCAGUCCGACUCUCUAACCAUUAGGCCAUGACUUCCCCUUCCCGAGGGGAUCAUGUUUGUGUCAGACUUUUGUACCUGUUUUGUUGUGUUUUUUUUCUCCACAUGUGCUUCCCAUGACCCAAAUUCUCCCUCUCGUUUUGAUUAGUCAUUUUGUUCAGGUAUGUCCCGUUAAUUACCCUUGUUUGUCUAUGUAUUUAAGCCCCAGUCUGUUCAGUCUUUGGUAGUCCAGUCAUCUUUAUGUUAUGCUGUGUUUCCCUCACCGUUCUGCACGUGUUCCAUGUUUGUUCAUUAAUGAAAGUGACUUUGAACUGCACCUCCUGUCUUCGCCUUCUUACCUGCAUCACUGUGACAGAUGACCGGACCCAAUAAUGUACAAUGGGUUGAGGAUCAGUUGUGGUGCCCGCAGAGAGAACAGGAGGAGACCACAAGGUGAGUGAAUGGUAAAUGAAGAGGUAUUAAUUGAUUAAACUCAAGGAAGUAGAGGAGUGGAGAAUCAGCAGCUGAGUAGCACAUUAGCUGGUAGGUCAGCGAGGGUUCCACAGAAGACAAAGAUGAUCCAGAGCAACCGGCUAAUCAGGUGAGUCUCUUGAAUUGACUUCAACAUCAGAUAAAGGUUGGUGAGGAGUGAAGGUGGCUUUAUACUGGUCUUGAUUGCUUAGUGACAGGUGCGGGGAAUUAGUAUUUAGGUGAUUGUGAUUGUGCAGACUGAGAGCUGGGAUCUGACAAGACGUGUUUCCCUGACAGUACCCAUGACACUUGCUGCCGGCGACGAGGACGGCUGUGCUUCUGGGGGCAGGUUUCUCUGGAUGAAGCUGAUGGAAGUCAGACAGCAGAGAGGUGUCAAGUACAGGUUAGAUGGCAUGAAUCGUGAUGCUUGGGUUCUGGUGCUAGAGUGGAUGAUGUGACUGAGGGCAGUUACAGUGGAUGAACUCCUGAGCAGGCAUGGAGGUGAUGGGAGAUGUGAAUGGCCUUUAAGAUGAAACUCUCAAGCCCCAUGGUGUCAUCAUAGAUUGCCAUCUGCUGUCGAAUGUUUGGAUUCAGCACCUGCUGGAAAGUGGUGAGUAGAGCGAUCUUAUUCCAACCACUCAAGGCCACAAGAGUGUGAAAUUAAACAGAAUAAUCCCAUACCAAGCCUCCUCCCUGACGAAACCUGAACAACGGUCUUGGACAGACAGCUCUGACAUGGCUUGGCCAAAGACUUCCUUGAAAUGAUACGUGGGCAUCAAAGGUUUUUGUAACCUGGCUUGUUGGCAUUCCAAAGGGACUCCGCCUACUGUAGGGCAC